ensembl:lncRNA
ACAUUAACAUGUUACAUGUUAUUGCCCUCUUUUAUCUCUUCAUUUUCAGAAUUCUAAAACCAGACUAAUUGUCAAAGUAAUAAUAAACUUUUUGAUUUAAAAGCUCAAUUAACAGGAUUGUUUUUUUGUUUUGUUUUGUUUUUUUCGGGCAGUGGUUUUGUGUGUUUGUUAUAAACACCUGUCAAAAGCCCCGAUUGAAUAGCUAAAAUAGAUUUGAAUAUUUAGAAUAAUGUAUUAAUUCUGGUCCACAAAUUAUAAUUACAUUUAAAUAUAAUAUCUGUUGUGUAGACAAGUGAACAAAAUAAAACAUUCUCAUAAAUUCAGGCAAGAUAUAUUAGGUCAAUAAAAAGAAACCUACAGACUAAAGACUGUGUUCAGGAGAGCCCUGUACAUGCUCAAUUAUAUGUUUAUUAAUUAAAAAUUGUACAUAAUCAAUCUUUCAGGACUGAAUAAAAAAACUCUGUGGAUUCUGUACUGCGGCUGGGGGACAGUAUUCCUGACUAUGGCUGUGGUCUUCUCUGUUUGUUUACGCCAAGGUAAAGAGAGUGCAGUGCCUCCAGAAAUUUCGUCUGUAAUGGUAAGCAUGCUAUAUUUGUUGAAUUAUUGUUAUAAUUACAGAAUUAUUGUUUGUUAAAUAUUCCUUUUGAAUGGCUAUUGGUGGAUUGGUGAAAACGUAAUGUUUUGGAAAAUCUGUUAGUUUAGACUACUAACCUACACAAGAGAAGUCAAAAAUGAUUUGUCAAGUACCGUCAACCAUAGUUUUGGUGUGGAUGCUAUAUUAAACUUUCCACACUAAAAUAUACUGUAUUAAACUUUAUUUAUUUAUUUAUUUUGUCUAGUUUUACUCAGUGGAUCCCGUCAAUUUAGGGCUGGAUUUAAGUCCAACAAAAAAAUAACAAAUAAAGGUAAAAAGUAAAUGUGUGUAUUAUUUUUAAUUACAUUGUUUAUGUGAAACAUAUACAAUACAGUAGUCAAUCCUUGUGAAGACCACUCUCAUGUUUUCUUCAGACAAUCUUUCCUUUUUUUCAGGGCAUCACUGGAGAUUGUGUUAUUGAAAGGAAUGUAAAGAAAUGCUAGAGUAUUCCAAAACAACUAAAAAGUCAAUUAAACUGAAAUUUGCAUUCUCCUAAUGCUGUUUAUGAUGGUAAUGACAUACUUUAUUCUAGGAUUCGACUGUCUUUUGUGUUCUGUGGGUGAACAUGCAUCUUUCAAACUUUCAAAAUUAUAUGAAUAAUCUACUAUAUAUUAUUGUUGUUUGAUUAUGUCUCCUCUUAGUCUCAAAUAAAGUUAUUUUUUGCUUUUACACAUUUAGAAUCAAAAUUGCCUUCUUUGAGGUGCUACUGUACAUGUGAAUAUGCACAAAUGAGAUUUGAGAGCUACAGCGUUGAACAAGAUUUUCAGUGAAAAACAAUUUAAUUCCCUCUGUUUCUUAUAGCGGUUUAUGCAAUAACUCUUUGGAUUUGGAAACACUAUUCACUAUUAACUAGUUGCUUAUUAGGAUUUUAUUGAGGGAAAGUGAAUAUGUGUUCCCUAAUAUAUUACCAUUUAUACUUAACAUAUAGAAAACAAGAGGCUUGUUUUGUAUAUUGCAGCUGAAGACACUUUGUUGUUGUUGUUGUUGUUCUCUCUCUCUCUCUCCCUUAUGUAAUGAUGUUUUGGGUAUUUUUGAUACUUUCCAUGCGGAAACUUGUGCAAAAGUUGAGGAGGGCCCCCUUGAGCUGAUGACCACAGACUUUUAACAUCAGGUUCUGGUGAUUUAUUAGCUAGAAAUAUGGGCCCUAACAUCGGAAAUAGCCAUUCAUAGAUUAGAAAUUGGCUGCGGCACGGCAGCACCAACUAGUCAAAAAUUACUUUCGAGAAAAACGCUCCCUCUAAAAUUUCUAAUUUCUAUAACUAUUAUGAAGUGGCGCAUUUACAAUAAUAUCCCACCUGUGGCUACAAGGCUCCAGAUAAUCUGCAUAAAUAUCUUCCUUGCCUCCUCCACUCACAUGGCGAUGAUUUUCUGAAGCCGUGUAGCUUUCAGAACCAAUAUUCCACCUGAGACCAUGACCAUCUGCCAAUAACAUUUGCAAAAUG